AAGGGUAUAGCUCAGUGGUACAGUGCUUGCUUAGCAUGCAUGUGGUCCUGGGUUCAAUACCCAGUACCUCCA
rnacentral:tRNA from 1 species